AUGGUCGACCUCGAGCUCGACCACUCCACCGCCCACGACGGGCACGCCCUCCCCAACCAUGGAUCCGACGUUGUCGGGCCUCCAAGUGCAGAGUACAUGAUUUACACAAAACUGGUAUUCAUAUUACUUGAGAUGUUGCAGCUUUUAGAAACUCUGAAUCUCAGAUUUAUUGAGAUAUCAAAAUACCAGUUUGAGAUUCAUCGAGAUAAGGAGAUCUUAUUCGACCAUCAACCACUAUUGUUCAGGAAUUUUGAGUGGCGCACAUCCUGGUAUGGUGAGAGGCAAGCCGACGACCGGACAUCAUUUGUCAAGCUUGGUAAUGCUACUAAUUUGAAUGCUAAAAUUAUUCAGGAAGCAAACAGAACGACUACACUCACAAGGAACCAUGAAGCCAACGAUCCACGUCAACUAGAUGUUUUAGCUUUCAUUUUGUACAACUGA
rnacentral:rRNA from 1 species